AGUGAACGCUGGCGGUAGGCCUAACACAUGCAAGUCGAACGGCAGCACAGUAAGAGCUUGCUCUUACGGGUGGCGAGUGGCGGACGGGUGAGGAAUACAUCGGAAUCUACUUUUUCGUGGGGGAUAACGUAGGGAAACUUACGCUAAUACCGCAUACGACCUACGGGUGAAAGCAGGGGAUCUUCGGACCUUGCGCGAUUGAAUGAGCCGAUGUCGGAUUAGCUAGUUGGUGGGGUAAAGGCCCACCAAGGCGACGAUCCGUAGCUGGUCUGAGAGGAUGAGCAGCCACACUGGAACUGAGACACGGUCCAGACUCCUACGGGAGGCAGCAGUGGGGAAUAUUGGACAAAGGGCGCAAGCCUGAUCCAGCCAUACCGCGUGGGUGAAGAAGGCCUUCGGGUUGUAAAGCCCUUUUGUUGGGAAAGAAAAGCAGCAGGUUAAUACCCCGCUGUUCUGACGGUACCCAAAGAAUAAGCACCGGCUAACUUCGUG
rnacentral:rRNA from 1 species